rnacentral:rRNA from 1 species
GACGAACGCUGGCGGCGUGCCUAAUACAUGCAAGUCGAACGCAGUGGGGACGGGUGAGUAACACGUGGGUAACCUCCCAUCAGAGGGGAUAACACUUGGAAACAGGUGCUAAACCGAUACUGAUGGAUGGUCCCGCGGUGCAUUAGCUAGUUGGUGAGGUAACGGCCUACCAAGGCGACGAUACAUACCCGGCUUGGAAGGGUGACUGGCCACAAUGGGACCGGGAAACGGGCCAGAAUCCUACGGGGGGAAGCAGUAGGGAAACUUCGGCAAUUGGCGGAAGUCUGACCGAGCAACGCCGCGUGAGUGAAGAAGGGUUUCGGAACGUAAAACUCUGUUAUGAGAGAAGCGGUAACUAACCAGAAAGGGACGGCUAACUCCGUGCCAGCAGCCGCGGUAAUUC